UAACACACGGGACCGCAUGGUUCUAUGUUGAAAGAUUGAUUGGUAUCGGAUUGGCUCGCGUGCCAUUAGCUAGAUGGCGGGGUAACGGCCCACCAUGGCGACGAUGGCUAGGGGUUCUGAGAGGAAGGUCCCCCACAUUGGAACUGAGACACGGUCCAGACUCCUACGGGAGGCAGCAGUGAGGAAUAUUGGACAAUGGCCGGAAGGCUGAUCCAGCCAUGCCGCGUGCGGGAAGACGGCCCUAUGGGUUGUAAACCGCUUUUGCGGGGGAGCAAUAAGGUCCACGUGUGGACUGAUGAGAGUACCCUGCGAAUAAGCAUCGGCUAACUCCGUGCCAGCAGCUGCGGUAAUACGGAGGAUGCAAGCGUUAUCCGGAUUUAUUGGGUUUAAAGGGUGCGCAGGCGGCUUGUUAAGCGGGAGGUGAAAUGCCGGCGCUCAACGUCGGAAGUGCCUCCCGAACUGGUGAGCUUGAAUGACUCUGCCGUGGGAGGAAUGUGUAGUGUAGCGGUGAAAUGCUUAGAGAUUACACAGAACACCGAUUGCGAAGGCAUCUCACGAAGGGUUGAUUGACGCUGAGGCACGAAAGCGUGGGGAUCAAACAGGAUUAGAUACCCUGGUAGUCCACGCAGUAAACGAUGAUGGCUAACCGCUGGGCUGUUCAGUUCAGUGGCCAAGCGAAAGCGAUAAGCCAUCCACCUGG
rnacentral:rRNA from 1 species